rnacentral:antisense_RNA from 1 species
AUGUCAACGCAGACACAAAACAGGGCAUGGGUCAGAUCUAGCUGGCUGCAUUCCUAACACCUAGGUUUCAGAGUAAAAAUAUAGAGUCAGCCUGUGAUGGCAUUCCCUCGAAACAUGGAAGGAACUGCAGUAAUGAAAGUCAUCAUGUAUUCUAAGUGACUGUUCUGCGAGAGCACAACACAGAUGGGGCUAAAGCAGGGAUUGUCUAAGCCCAGGGUGGAGGAACCAUCAAGGAUUUCAGCACGUUUUUUUAGCCAUUGUGAGAAGCAAAAGUGCUCAGGAGUUAAGAGAAGCAAACGUCCGAAAUUAUCUCCAUGCAUUACUAAAAACUGUGGGCACCACGGCACGGGGAAAACUUACCAGGUACAAUGAGCCAGUGACUGUUACUGAAUUUCUUAAGAUUACACUUUUCCCAACUACUGCAGACUGCUUCAGAAUAGAAGAAGACAACUCUCAAGCCAUCAAGUCGACUGACUUUCAAAAAAAUAAAAGAUGCAUUUCUUUACUUGUAAGUAUUUGUCUUUGCAAAGGGCUCUCUGAUAUGGUAGCACAGAAGUUUGCACAUUCUAAGGAUCU